UGUGGACAUGAAAUGAGAUCCUCUGGCUUAGAAUCCUUUUUUUUGCAUUAUUAAAAAAUAUAAUAUUUCUUUUACUAUUAUUUCCAGACUUGAGACAGUUCUAUGCCAUAUGUAUAGCUCUUGAAGGGAAGGGUUGUCUAUAGGAGAAGACAGUGGCUGGUAAAUGAAGGAAUACUUCAAUAUCUCAUUCCAUUAAGCAAGAUACAACUUAUCAGCAUGCAGAGGAAAACAGACUCUUUCUGCAGGUGGCUUAACUUACUGUUGUUAUGCAUAGAGCUGUGGAAGAAUGUUGCCUUCAUUCCACGAGAAUCCUGGCCACGGAGAAGAGCUGAGAACUGUUAAAUAUGGAAGCAUCUAAAGGAAAACUGGAAACUGCAGUGGUACAUGAACAAUUCACAGCUUUCCCAGCAGGAAGAUCGGCCUCUUUACAUGGGAAGACCUCUGGCUGUGGUGUUUGCAUUUCAGAGCCUUUCCACCUGUUUUUCAUAUGCUAUGUGAAACAGAUCACACUAAAUCUUUUGGCCAGUGUUCCUCAGAAGAUGAGAGGACAAAGGAACUUCUUCGUGCAGAUCAAGAAGGUGAAGUACUUUAACGUCCUGUAUGGCAUGUUCUUCUUCUGUCUUUACUUACCUGCUUAUAAUAAUGACAAAAUUGUUGGGCUCUUCAGACAAAAAUCUGGUUCAAGCUCUUGGAAUAUGCCUGUUUUUAUCACUAUUAAUUGCUUCCAGUGGGACUAAGCUUUAGUAAAGGCAAGUCUUCACAUCAUCGGGGAUUAAUUAGGACAAGGUGCAAAGGAAAGAGAAAUAGAAUGAAAAUUGUUCUUAUUAUACUUAAUCCUGUAUUAUCUAAGGAGAAUUUUUUUUUAUUUCUCAUUUUUCUGUUAGCUGUCAUGUUUACAAAUGUAGGUGAACUAUCCUGUGUCCAAGCUCUGAGAGAGAAGAAAUAGGAAAACACUGCAGUAAUGAACCAGAAAAACAGCAACAUUUUUCUGAGAGAUCUCAGCCUUUUUACUUUUACUGGAAUCAUGAAAUCUCUCUGUAAUUAAGUGACGAGCUUGUAGUGUUCCCAUACCCAUCUCUGUAGGAAUUCUUUGCAUUAGUGUGCAGAAGCACAGCUUAAGCUGGGCAGUGGUGAGAGACCAUCCUUGGUUUAUUUUUCCUUGGGGACUUCUACACUACACAAGCUUUCUAUUUGACCUUUGCAUUUUCUUCUGAGGACAAGGGGUUGAAGUCUGCAGGAUAACCAGAAAUACCCAACAUGAAUCUGGAGAAAACCUACAUUGCUUUUGAGCAUCAGGAGGAGUAAACAUCUGGGGAUCAUUUGAAACUGUAGCUGCUCACUCACUAUGGAAGACAUGAAAGAAGCAGUUAAUGUUUCUUUUUUGGGUUGGGAAUUGAUCUUUAUCACCACUUUCCCUAACCUGCGUUAACAACAAUCACCAGGGACAGGAGAAGCAUGCAGACUUUAAAAGGCAGCAGUAGUUGCCCUAGGUCACAGAAGUAAAGGAGGAAUUUGGAUCUGAGUUUUUCUUGUUUUCUAUCCAGAAUAUGAACCUCUUUUGUUGGAAGUAGGUUUUGUGUGAAGUUUGACUGCAGCUUCUGAGGAUACAUAAAAAUAAAUCAAGUUAACAAGAAGAAGAAGAAGAAGAAGAAGAAAUAAAAAGUCCUCCCUGUAAGGCCUCAAGAAGAAAUAAAGAGUCCUUCCUGUAAGGCCUCAAAAAAUGAUUUCUACACUAUACUUAAAAGAACUGUACAUUUUUUCUUCUUUUUUUUUGCCAGGCCUUUCAAUUUCUAAUUUAAGGUAGAAAUAUAUGAGAAGGUAGUUCUUGCUUCCUAUAACAUGUGUUCUAAUAUUUUCUAUAACCUUUAUUGAAUUACUGCCUUUACCAUGGACAAAGUUGUUUCAGGAGCAGUUCCCACUGACACUCAGAAUAUUCCACUCCCAUCAGUAGAAUGGGAGCCUUUCUAGCCUUUUCUUUUAAUGCAGAGCCACAAGAGUGAAGGGAAAAACCCAUGGGAGUUUUUUUAGGAGUGUAAAUGAAAAUUGAGGUUCAUAUUGUGAAAUUAUUACUGAGAGAAGCGUGAGGCGCUCCUUUUGCUGAUGUCGUGGAAUAACGCAAGUACCAGUUUAAAAUUUUACAGGUUCCUCUAGCUGGAACAUGAACUAAAACAUGUAUGUCUGAACAACCUAGCACUCCCCACAGGUCUCUGUGCACCUUGGAGAUGUCUGCUUAGAAGAAUUUUAUUUUUCCUAACUUUGGGAAGGUAGUAAUACACAGAUAUAAAAAAGCAAUGCAAGAUAU
ensembl:lncRNA